rnacentral:siRNA from 1 species
UGUUGAGUGCCACGAGAGCCU